rnacentral:tRNA from 1 species
UCCCUUGUAUCUCAGCUGAUAAAGAAUCUGCCUGCAAUGCAGGAGAAUCCGGUUCAAUUCCUGGUUUGGGAA